rnacentral:misc_RNA from 1 species
UCUCCGUAGGUGAACCUGCGGAGGGAUCAUUACAGAGUUCAUGCCCUAACGGGUAGAUCUCCCACCCUAUGAUAUCAUCACUUUGUUGCUUUGGCGGGCCGUCAGGCCUCGGCUUGGCUACCGGCUCUCGCUGGUAAGCGCCCGCCAGAGAACCCCAAACCCUGAAUAUCAGUGUCGUCUGAGUACUAUAUAAUAGUUAAAACUUUCAACAACGGAUCUCUUGGUCCUG